rnacentral:rRNA from 1 species
UUGGAGGGCAAGUCUGGUGCCAGCAGCCGCGGUAAUUCCAGCUCCAAUAGCGUAUAUUAAAGUUGUUGCAGUUAAAAAGCUCGUAGUUGAAUUUCGGGAUCAAUGGAUUGGUCAUGCCGAUGGUAUGUACUGGUCAUAUUGGUUCUCACCUUCUAAGGAACCAUAAUGUCAUUUAUUUGAUGUUGUGGGGAAUUAGGACUGUUACCUUGAAAAAAUUAGAGUGUUUAAAGCAGGCUAACGCUUGAAUACAUUAGCAUGGAAUAAUGAAAUAGGACAUCGCAUUCUAUUUUGUUGGUUUCUAGGAUCGAUGUAAUGAUUAAUAGGGAUAGUUGGGGGCAUUAGUAUUCAAUUGUCAGAGGUGAAAUUCUUGGAUUUAUUGAAGACUAACUACUGCGAAAGCAUUUGCCAAGGAUGUUUUCAUUAAUCAAGAACGAAAGUUAGGGGAUCGAAGACGAUCAGAUACCGUCGUAGUCUUAACCAUAAACUAUGCCGACUAGGGAUCGGAUGAUGUUGAUUUUUUAAUGACUCAUUCGGCGCCUUACGGGAAAC